CAAAGAAUCAACAAAUAUGCUCUAGCCAGUUAGUGGAGGAAUGACUUCAGAAGUGAAAUAUAUGGGCAGCCCAAGUGGCUCAGUGGUUUAGCACCGACUUCAGCCAGGGUGUGAUCCUGGAGACGGGGGAUCAAGUCCCACCCACGUUGGGCUCCCUGCAUGGUGCCUGCUUCUCCCUCUGCCUGUGUCUCUGCCCCUCUCUCUCUCUCUCUCUCUCUGUCUCUCACAAAUAAAUAAAAUCUUUUUUUUUUAAGUGAAAUACAUGAAGAAGCAUAGCCUACUGGUACCCUAAUUAAUAAAAUCUCAGAAUUUUUUGUUUCUUCCCAAGGAAGUAUAUAUGCUACUUGCUACACUUUCCAAAAAUGACACAAUUUAACACAUUGGGACAAAAGAAAAAUAUAGGGAAAUUCAUCUUUUUUAUCAUGAUCUAAAACUACAUAUCAAAAAAUAAAUAAAACAAAACUACGAAUCCUGAUAGUUGUGGAAAUAUGCUUGAAAUUAAGACUGUGACAAGAACAUUUAAACCAAAAUCAAAUUUACUUGGCAAGGAGUAUAGGAAAGUAGGUAUGUCAUUUACCAACACUACUUGGUGAUUCAUGGACUAAGAAAAAAAAAUCCACUGAACACAUAAAGUUGAGCUAUGACUUAGCAAGAGAUUUUGUUCUGAUGUAAUGAUGCUAAUUUUAAACUUUAAACAGCUUGAAAAGGGAGAUGAAUGUCUGAAAUGAAAAUCUCAACUGAUUCAGAGAUAAAGAAUAUAAAAUCAGUACUUCUGGGAACGAGCCGCAUUAGUCUUCCUCUCUGCAGACCUACUUGCAUUCCAAGAAUAUUUUUCAUCUCUAUCAAAAGCAAGAGUCCUUUGGGCAUUAAAGAAGUUGUUGACAGUGAUAAAAAGCUGCAAAGUGAGAAAACCAAAACUAUUUUCCACAUCUCCCUAUUUCAUGGCUCCCUAGCCAAAAUACUUAAGGUACUCCAAUCACUAAAAUGUGCAGAUAUCUAUAUGUACGACAUCUAAAAGUCAAUGUCCCAAGGGAGAAUAAUGUAUCCACAUUGAAUCGUUACACUGAAGUGGAAAGCAAGAGUUUUGAAAUUCUAAGUCACAAUUGCCAUUAAUU
rnacentral:lncRNA from 1 species